UACGAAGGGAGCUAGCGUUGUUCGGAAUCACUGGGCGUAAAGCGCACGUAGGCGGAUGUGUCAGUCAGGGGUGAAAUCCCCGAGCUCAACUCGGGAACUGCGUCCGAUACUGGCGGGCUUGAAUCCGGGAGAGGGAUGCGGAAUUCCAGGUGUAGCGGUGAAAUGCGUAGAUAUCUGGAGGAACACCGGUGGCGAAGGCGGCGAUCC
rnacentral:rRNA from 1 species